rnacentral:tRNA from 1 species
AUUUAUAUAGUUUAAAAAAAACAUUAUAUUUUCAAUAUAAAAAUAAACUAUUAUUUUUUAUAAAUA